CCUCUUGUGAAGGCUUAAGGGAGGACGGGAGCGACACACCUGGUUUAAACACUGCAGACAUCAUCCACACAGACUGUCAGACACAAACUCUGCUCUGUUUAGACUUUGUUCUGAUUUGUUUUUGUCAUCAUUUUUCUUUUUAGUUGAGGGAAAAUGUGUCAAAAUAUCAGAAUCAAAUCAGAGCAAUUGUCUUUCCUCUCAGCUUGAUGCCUGCAGGUUUCUCUUGUUGUUUAUCUCAACUGAACCUCUUCUUGAUACCUGAGCCUUCAGUUUUUCCCAGUUUCAUCCUGAGUAUUUACGUUAGUUUGUGUCACGCAGCCUCGCGCCUGUUUCCAGACAGCUGGGGGGAAAAAGAUGCAUUCACACCAGACAAGCCAAUCAUUCUGUAUGGAGGGAGAAACACACCUGCUUUGAGACAUUAUGGAAGACUCGGAUAGUAACGAGGUGUUCAGAAAUGCCCAAAAACCCGAACUUUUUAAGAAGGUGGCUGAAGGAAUUAAAGAGGGAGGCAGUGAGAAGCAUCUCAUCCAGCAGCAGAGUGUAAACACAACCCUUCUCUGAAAUCUGAACAUGAAAACAUCUACGAGUGUCUGGUGCGAUGAUCUGCACGUCGUUAAGUUCCCGCUGAGGUUUCCAACAACAAAUACAGAACAGAUCAGAAGAUGUUUGUCUGCAAAAACACAUACAUUAAAAACCAAAAACACACAUGUGGCCUGAACAUAUUUUUGUUAGGAGCCACAACUGUCGUCUCUGAGGUCGGUUAGGAAACUUAAAACAGCGGCGAGGUGAAGAGGUUUCCGUUUGUUCGCGGCUCUGCGGCUCCUCGAGGCCCCUGACCUCCAGUUGAGGUAACGGGAGUCAUCGCGAGAGGAAUUCAGCCUCGUUCUGCAGAGUGAGAGAUUAAAAACACAUUCUGAUAAGA